rnacentral:rRNA from 1 species
UACGUAGGGGGCAAGCGUUGUCCGGAAUCAUUGGGCGUAAAGCGCGCGUAGGCGGCCCGGUAAGUCCGUUGUGAAAGUCAAAGGCUCAACCUUUGAACGCCGAUGGAUACUGCCGGGCUAGAGUCCGGAAGAGGCGAGUGGAAUUCCUGGUGUGGCGGUGGAAUGCGCAGAUAUCAGGAGGAACACCAAUAGCGAAGGCAGCUCGCUGGGACGGUACUGACGCUGAGGCGCGAAAGCGUGGGGAGCAAACGGG